rnacentral:rRNA from 1 species
AAGCAAUGUUAUUUGGUGGUGAUUACUACUUGCAUACCGUAGUAAUUCCAGAACUAAUACCUUCCUAAAUCCCCACUUCUGAAGGAACGUAUUUAUUAAAUAAAGACCGACCUCGUUCUGCGGUGAAUCAUGAUAACUUUACGGAACGCAUGGGCUUGUCCCGGCGAUGUUCCAUUCAAAUUUCUGCCCUAUCAACUUUCCAAGGUAGGAAAAAGGCCUACCAUGGUGGUAACCGGUGACGGAAAAUUAGGGUUCAAUUCCGGAAAGGGAACCUGAAAAACGGCUACCACAUCCAAGGAAGGCAACAGGGGCGCAAAUUACCCAAUCCUGAACCAGGGAGGUAGUGACAAUAAAUAACAAUACCGGGGUUUUUCAAGUCUGGUAAUUGGAAUGAAAACAAUCUAAAUCCCUUAACGAGGAUCCAUUGGA